GGGCCGUUAGAACAGCCUGGAGUGUUCGUCUCCUUGUCACGGAGAAGGUCACGGGUUCAAAUCCCGUACGGCCCG
rnacentral:tRNA from 1 species